UACGUAGGGGGCAAGCGUUGUCCGGAAUCAUUGGGCGUAAAGCGCGUGUAGGCGGCUCGAUAAGUCUGCUGUGAAAGUCCAGGGCUCAACCCUAGAAUGCCGGUGGAAACUGUCGAGCUAGAGUCCGGAAGAGGCGAGUGGAAUUCCUGGUGUAGCGGUGAAAUGCGCAGAUAUCAGGAGGAACACCAAUGGCGAAGGCAGCUCGCUGGGACGGUACUGACGCUGAGACGCGAAAGCGUGGGGAGCAAACAGG
rnacentral:rRNA from 1 species